rnacentral:rRNA from 1 species
UACCAGCUCUCCGAGUGGUAGGGAUGAUUAUUGGGCUUAAAGCGUCCGUAGCCGGCUUAGCAAGUCUCCUGUUAAAUUCAGCGACCUAAUCGUUGAGCCGCGGGAGAUACUACUAGGCUAGGAGGCAGGAGAGGUCAACGGUACUUCCGGGGUAGGGGUGAAAUCCUAUAAUCCUGGGAGGACCACCAGUGGCGAAGGCUGUUGACUAGAACGCGCUCGACGGUGAGGGACGAAAGCUGGGGGAGCGAACCGGAUUAGAUACCCGGGUAGUCCCAGCUGUAAACGAUGCGAGCUAGGUGUUGGGGUGGCUACGUGCCACUUCAGUGCCGCAGGGAAGCCAUUAAGCUCGCCGCCGUGGGGAGUACGGCCGCAAGGCUAGAAACUUAAAGGAAGUUGGCGGGGAGCACCACAAGGCGUGAAGCUUGCGGUUC